rnacentral:rRNA from 1 species
UAGGGAAUCUUCCACAUUGGGCGAAAGCCUGAUGGAGCAACGCCGCGUGUGUGAUGAAGGGUUUCGGCUCGUAAAACACUGUUGUAAGAGAAGAAUGACAUUGAGAGUAACUGUUCAAUGUGUGACGGUAUCUUACCAGAAAGGAACGGCUAAAUACGUGCCAA